AAUUUAAAACAAUUUUGGUGAAAAUCAUCUUAGAUUGAACUUUAAAGAUGAUUUUACCUGUUGGGCAUAUUGAAUGUAAAGAAUUAAAAUAGGGUAAUUUUAUUGAUGUAAAAUGAUCCGUAUAAAGAGGAUAUGAUUCAAACGAAAUCCGUAUGAUUCCCUUAAAGAGGAAUUUGUCCUGCAAGAUCCAGCCCCGCACCCACGACAAUCAGCUCUCCUACGUCGUCGGCGACACCACGAUCCUCGCCGUCGACCGCUCUGUUAUGUUCCCCGCCUUCCUCUCCAAGCUCGCCGGCGAAGACCUCGACGCUCUCAUCUCCGUCACCAACGACGACGACCUCGAACACAUGAUGCUCGAAUACGAGAGACUCUAUCGCCCUAACCUAAAACCUAUUAGAAUGAGACUCUUCCUUUUCACACUCUCUAAUUAAAACCCUAAUUCCUCUUUCUACUCCGAACGUGACCGUUUCGUUGAGGCAUGGUUGAUGGACGAUAGCAAUGAAAAUCCAAGGCUUCCUCACCGUCGCAAUCCCAACGAAUCAGUUUCAUUGGACCAAUUAGCAGAUUUGGGGGUGUUAUACUGGAAGCUCAAUCCAACUACAUGGAAAUAUUCUAUUUAUCUUUUAAUUUUAUUUUGCUUUCUGUAAUUAGAUAGUGCUUCAAUUGUUACCUCUUCAGUCUUCAUUGAUUAACCCAGGAUAGGAAUAGUAUUUAGAAUUCCCAGCAUACUAUGAAUUUGAACAUACAUAGAGCAGAGUUGCUACAGUAAUCGGUGAAGUUCAGGAAAUAAAAUUAGAAUUCUUGAAAAGAUAAUAAAUCCUGCAAAAUUUGUUAAAAAGAAUUACUGAAAAGAUAAUACCUCGAUUGAAUGUUUCUUUUGAUAGGUAAAUACAACACUAAAUAUUUUGUGUUUAGGACUACAUGGAUUUUGUGCUCUGUUUCUUAAGAAUUUUUCCAAUGGUUAGAAGUUGCUUUUAUUUCUAUAGUCUUGUUUAGUAUACCAAUAGGAUGGCCUUAUGGCUAAUCCCGUCCACAAUUAGGUUGUAUAGAUUCUUUGGUAGACUAUUCCUUCCAAGUUGUUUUUGAGUGACCUAUUUAGCUGUUUCAGAUUUUGCUUGUGUUAAACUUCAUGACUAUACCUCAAUGUGAUGUAGUGUGAGUGGUUUGCUGCAGUAGCUUCAUCAAGGUAUUAUCCACAUUCUUAUGAGGUUUUCAAGGAAAAACUGAUACUGAUGUGAAUGUGAUAAACUGAUUGUUGUCUUAAUUGCACCAGUUAGUCUAGUUGUUGUCCUACUUAUGCUACCUUGACUAUAUGAAGCAGAUUCUGGAUAUAUCAUUGCACAGUCUCUCUCUACAAUUAAUUAAGAUUUGGAAGUGAGUCAGGAUUACACAUUUUGUCUGAUAUUUUGUAAACCCAUGCAUACAAGAUCAUGUGAAGGAGCUGAGAAUUGUUAAUAUACAUUCUAGUUGAUUUUGACUUCUCAUAUUUUGUAGUUGGAUGAAUUACAACCUAUGAUUAUUGAAGGGAGACCUUGUUGAGUAAUAUCAAAUAUUCUUGACAGGAUUCACCUUUGUAAGAAAUUAAUAUGCAAGGGAAUUUUCUUCCUUCCCGAAACUGAGCUGCAGAUUCUUUUAUGCAGGGAGGUGAGGCUCUUCGCUAUGCGAAGGUAUGGGGGAGGGAUGUUGUACGCAGCCGUACCCUUGCAUAUGCAAAGAGGCUGUUUCCGGAUUCGAACCCAUGACCAACAGGUCACCAAGGCACAACUUUACCGCUGCACCAGGACUCGCCCUCAGAAGCAUGACUCUCCUGAUGCUUGUCAGAGUGGUGUAUACAGAAGCAUAGGUUGCCGAAGUUCAUUGAUUUAUGAUUAAUGCAAUCAGUGGUUUUAGUCAAUUUGGAAAGUCCUGUGGCAUAUUUUUAUAAUCUCACCAUCUUGAAUCUGGUGCGAUAUCAAAGCCGGAAGAGAUUGGCAGAUCAGUGCCUUCGGGUGAAAGGGCAGUUUGUUCGCCAAGUACAAGAUGAUCAUCCAGUAGCAGAUGUGGGUGGUGGUUCUUGAAAUUGUUUAGUUUCAAGUUACCUUCAUCAUUAAAUUACAAUCUGACUUCCAAAACUGAUUUGCUUCUCUCGACAAGGAUUAACUGUAGGGUCUAGUUUGUCUGGUGAAAUUAUGUUCUCCUCUUAGCGUUGUUAGUAUUUUCUUCUGGCUUGUUAUAUUGGUUGUCUCUUAGAAUGUAGGAUUGUAAGUAUUUAGUUGGAUUGAUUUGAAGUUUGGAUUUUACCUCUUAGAAUCUAUUAUUAAAAAGAAGGGAAGGAAAUAUUUAGUGAAUGAGCAUAGGCUACAAUGUGUUUUACAUCCA